CCACGACUGACCUCUACCCCUCCUUCCCCAAAAAUACAGAACCACGAGCAACCUCCAUUACUAACUCCCACUUCUCUCCACUUCUCCGGUCUCCACGGCGCACUUCUCCGGUCUCUACGGCGCACUUCUCCGGUCACAGGGCGACGUGAUUCACUAUGGAACAUCAUACAUAUGCGCAAGAAAAUUCAAUCAUAAAAAGUAAAUUAGAAAAAACAACCAAAAUAUACCACCCACCAUUGUUGCUGCUAGUAAGCUGUUACUUUCAUCGAUCGGUUCUGCACUCGAGUUCAUUGGAAUUGGAAGAUUCAUUCGAAGAUUCAUCGGAAUUGAAAGAUAAAGAAGGGCGCUCCUGCUAUCCUUUGAAGUUGGUUCAGAAGUUGAAGUUUUAGCUGAGAAGUUCCUGUCCUGGACAAAGUGAACAAGUCAGACAUAGCGAAGGAGAUUCUAGAGGUGUUGGUGACUAGUAGUAGCAGAUAUAUAUUCUUUGUUGAUUAAGGUCUUUAUGCAUGGAGGAUAUAGAAGACUUGUAUAAUGAUGGGAUGUCUAGGGACAAUGAUCCCUUGUGUUAUGAGCAUCCAACUGAGACGGAGCAUGAUAUUUCUCAAAAAGGCACUAAAAGGUAUCGAGGUGAAGUAAAAGGGUUAAAGUCCCCUAAUGUGCCAAAAUUCCUAGAAUGGGAUUCAUUUAAUCGACCAACUGGUCAUUGGUUGAAGGACUAUAGGCAACAAAUUGGGAAGAC